UCGACUUGUUUGAUAAGGGCAACAUCACAAACCAACUAUAGCUACACUCCUCUUCUUCCCUGAGCGUUGCAUGACCUCUUUACAUGCUGCGGUGUUCCUUAUAUUGUAAUAUCUCGUACUGAUCUGCCCAAGGACGUUGAAAAUGAAAACUACCGUCAAAUUUAGCUGGUGACAGGGAAAGUGUCCGCGCAUUUGCCAGACGUUUCGUGUUUACAGUGGAAUGAUGAUAUUUUGACUGGGGAGCAGCUGCCAACAUGAGAUGAGAGAAAGUCUUCAGCAACUCUGAAUAUAGAAUUUCACUCCGGCGACGCCGACGGGCGUCUGACAGCGUCACCGUAUGAAAAGGAUCCCAGCAGGGCUACCUUGGACUGGUGAAAAGAAGUACUUCCCUGCCUCAGCUUUAGACACCAACCAUCUCUUCAAGUAAACAGACAUGAAGGGAACCUUCCAGUCUCCCAUUUGUCAAAAGUGUACCACACUAUACUAGAUGACAUACACCUACCACACUGUCCAGUCCUAACACAACUCAGGCACCAAUAUACUUGCUCUCCAAGACCUGCAGUCUCACCUCAUGGUGGUGCGACUUA